rnacentral:rRNA from 1 species
AACGAACGCUGGCGGCAGGCUUAACACAUGCAAGUCGAACGCGUGUAGCAAUACACGAGUGGCGCACGGGUGAGUAACGCGUGGAUAUCUGCCUUUUGGUUCGGAAUAACUCCGGGAAACUGGAGCUAAUACCGGAUGGUUCCUACGGGAUAAAGAUUUAUCGCCAAAAGAUGAGUCCGCGUACGAUUAGCUAGUUGGUGGGGUAAUGGCCCACCAAGGCGACGAUCGUUAGCUGGUCUGAGAAGACGAUCAGCCACACUGGGACUGAGACACGGCCCAGACUCCUACGGGAGGCAGCAGUGGGGAAUAUUGGACAAUGGGGGCAACCCUGAUCCAGCCAUGCCGCGUGAGUGAUGAAGGCCUUCGGGUUGUAAAGCUCUUUUGGCGGGGACGAUGAUGACGGUACCCGCAGAAUAAGCCCCGGCUAACUUCGUGCCAGCCGCCGCAGUAAGAC